ensembl:lncRNA
CUCUCUGGUUGUACACACACCUUUUUGUCUUAAGGUUGCCCCUUCUUGCAAAAGCGUGAAAUAAAUUGUGAUUCAUACUGAAUUGUGCCUGAGCCUGGACUACUGAACAUGACCAUUGCUCACAGUAGUAAGUAUACUUUGAUGAUUUCCAAAGAUCUUCAGGAUUUUCAAGAGACAUUUCUGAGCAGACAAAAACUGAAACAUUUUCGAGAGGUUAUUCAUCCAUACGACACGCUUAGCAAAUCUGAAGAAAACAGCCUGUAAGAUCUCUCAGACUGCUCAUACAAAAUUUCAAAAGAUCUCUCAAUCUUAGGUGGGAGCUGGGGCAACAGAAUUCUUUCUACUGUGAGGAAAGAGCAAGUUCAAGACCACCUCAUGAGACUGAAAGUGUACAAGUCUAUGUGGUCAGAUGACAUGUAUCCCAAUGUCCUGAGGGAGCUAGCUGAUGUGGAUGCCAAGCUGCUCUCCAUCAUAUCUGAUAUGUCAUGGCUGUCAGGUGAAGUCUCUGGGCACUGGAAAAAGGGAAAUAUCGCUCCAUUUUUUAAGAAGGGUUGAAUGGAAGACCUGGGGAACUACAGGCUGGUGAGCCUCACCUCUGUGCCUGGGAAGAUCAUGGAGUGGAUCCUCUUGGAAGACAUGUUAAGGUCAUGCUGAUAUGAAAUGCAGAGACAGCCCUGAAAUCUGCUGAGGAACCACCCAGAAAGAGCCUGUACAUGCUCAAAUUUCUCACAUCCACCACGUAGCAAUGCAUUCUGCUAACAAGACCAACUAAAUGAACAUUUCUUUUGCUUGUACUUCAAAUUCUUCAUCAAAUGCUGUUUCAGUUUGCUUCACUGCAAUACUGGAAAAUGCCAGGUGUAUCUGGCAGUGUAGGAUAUAUGUAGCUCCCAGAAGUGCCCUGUACAUUUGCAAGAAAUGAAAUUAUUAAUUAUCUCUGUAUUUAUGUACCUAUUUGAUUCACAAGCUUGAUAGGUUCACUCUAGUGGCUGAUUUACGUGAAUGUUCCUGGGACUGCAUUACUGCAUAAUUAAUCUUUAUAGCAAAGUGGCCUUGUUUCCACAUGGAUGCUGCUUAAAAAAUUGCAUUCAUUUGCACUAUGGAGGCAUAGGCAAUAGGUGGAAAUAUCAAAAUGAGCUGUUCACUCCCUGUUCUGAAAUGGAUGAAAUCUAAAGCUAGUCUUCAUCUAGAUUGGAAGAAGAUGAUCCAGAGAUAUAGCACAGGAAAACCUCACUGAUAUAAAGCUGGGAGGAGUGACUGACACCAGAAGACUGUGCCUUCAGCAAGACUUGGACAGACUGGAAAGUUGUGCAGGGAGAAACCUCAUUGAUUAACCUUGAUUAACAAGAGCAAGUGUAGAGUCUUGCUCCUGUGGUGGGAUAACCAUGUGCAUCGGUACAGGUUAGGGGAUGACCUGUGGAGAGGAGUUCUGCAGAGAAGGACCUGGGUAUUCUGGUGGACAACAGGCUGGCCAUGAGCCAGCAGUGGGCCCUUGUAGCCAAGUAGGACAAUAGUAUUCUGGGGCACAUUCAAAAGAGUGUGGUCAGCAUGUCAAAGAAGGUGAUCCUCCCCCUCUACUAUGCUCUGGUGAGACCACAUUUAGACUACUAUGUCCAGUUCUGGGCUCCCCAGUUCAAAAAAAAAAAAAAACAGGGACCUCCUAGAAGGAGUCCAGCAGGGGGCCGUAAGGAUGAUAAAGGGCCUAGAGAUCUCCCUUAUGAGGAAAGAUUGAGACACCUGGAUCUGUUCAGCCUGGAGAAAGAAGUCUGAGGGGGUAUCUGAUUAAUGUUUAUAAAUAUCUGAAUAGAGGUGGGAAGCAAAUGGAGGAGGCCGGGCUCCUCUUAGUGGUGCACAGCAAUAGGACAAGGAGUAAUGGCCUAAAACUUGAACAUAGGAAGUUCUAUGUAAAUAUGCUUAAGAACUUCUGUACGGUAGGGGUGACUAACCACUAGAACAGGUUGCCCAGAGAGGUUGUGGAGUCUCCUUCUCAGGAAAUACUCAAGACCUGGCUGAACAUCUACCUGUACAACUUAUCAGAGCAGGGGGCUUGGACUCGAUGAUCUCUUGAGGUCCCUUCCAGCUCCUGAGAUUCUGUGAUUCUGAAACAGCAUGCAACAGAUCAGAUAUUUUUUCUUUUGAAACUGGACCUUAAAAAUACAUAUAUAUUUUUUGUUAUCCAAGGAAAUUAACCUGCUUUCUUCAGGUCAAAUAAAUUAUCUGUGGAUACUC